rnacentral:sRNA from 2 species
GAGGAUGAGAACCUCCGGAGGCGGGAGGUUCGACCCGAGCGAAGCGAGAGAACGUUGCGCGAGCAACGGCCCGCAGGGCGAGCCAUUCUCUCAUUGCUGACAUAUUCCAC